rnacentral:piRNA from 1 species
UCGGAUAAUUGCGAUUAAAUU